GAAACGCGAUAGUUAAUGUGAAUUGCAGAAUUCAGUGAAUCAUCGAGUCUUUGAACGCACAUUGCGCCCUUUGGUAUUCCGAAGGGCAUGUCUGUUUGAGCGUCAUUACAACUCCUCGUUAACAAAUUUUUUUUUGUUGUACGGUCUUGGGCAGGGUAAAGCGUCGGAUCCUUGAGAUGCCUGUGAAGCUACCUGCCUUAAAUACAUUAAAGAAUGCCCUGCCAGCCAGACCUUUGAAAACUUUACGUAGUAGUACUUAACAAACCGUUCAGUAGAGAAGGACCGUGCUUGCCUGUAGAAAACAAAAUCAACCUCUCUAGGUUUGACCUCAGAUCAGACAAGGAUACCCGCUGAACUUAA
rnacentral:misc_RNA from 1 species